UACGGAGGGUGCGAGCGUUGUCCGGAAUUAUUGGGCGUAAAGGGCGCGUAGGCGGUGCGGUAAGUCACCUGUGAAAUCUCCUGGCUCAACUGGGAGCUUGCAGGCGAAACUGCCGUGCUGGAGUGUGGGAGAGGUGCGUGGAAUUCCUGGUGUAGCGGUGAAAUGCGUAGAUAUCAGGAGGAACACCUGUGGCGAAAGCGGCGCACUGGACCACAACUGACGCUGAGGCACGAAAGCUAGGGGAGCAAACAGG
rnacentral:rRNA from 1 species